GUCUUUUUGUAAGUAUAAAAAGUCCGAUCUGCCCACUGAUAAUUAUAUUGAAGGGCCGCAGUAUUCUGACUGUGCAAAGGUAGCAUAAUCAUUAGUUCUUUAAUUGGGAUCUUGAAUGAAUGAUUAGACAAAAAAAAUACUGUCUUUAUGAUAAUAAUUGAAUUUAACUUUUAAGUGAAAAGGCUUAAAUAAUUUAGAGUGACGAUAAGACCCUAUAAAGCUUAAUAUUAUUAUAAAAUUUUGGGUAAUUUAGAUAUAAAGUUUUAAAGAUUGUUGAUAUUUUAUUGGGGCGAUAGAAGUAAAAGGAUUAAUAACUGCUUUUUUUUUAAUCAAAUAUAAAUGAUUAGUGUGUAAGUGAUCUUAUUUUGUAGAAUAAAAGAUUAAGUUACUUUAGGGAUAACAGCGUUAUUUUUCUUGAGAGUUCUUAUCGAAAGAAAAGAUUGCGACCUCGAUGUUGAAUUAAAAUAUCUAUAUAAUUGUAGCGGUUAUAUAAGAAGGUCUGUUCGACCUUUAAAUUUUUACGUGAUUUGAGUUCAGACCGGUUUAAACCAGGUCGGUUUCUAUCUUUUAAUUAAAUUGUAAUUGUUUA
rnacentral:rRNA from 1 species